rnacentral:rRNA from 1 species
AUACGUAGGGGCCGAGCGUUGUCCGGAGUUACUGGGCGUAAAGCGUGCGCAGGCGGCUUGUCGCGCCCGGCGUGAAAGCCCCCGGCUCAACCGGGGAGGGUCGUCGGGGACGGGCAGGCUUGAGGACAGCAGGGGCUGGUGGAAUUCCCGGUGUAGUGGUGAAAUGCGUAGAGAUCGGGAGGAACACCUGUGGCGAAGGCGGCCAGCUGGGCUGGACCUGACGCUGAGGCACGAAGGCGUGGGGAGCGAACGGGAUUAGAUACCCCGGUAGUCCACGCAGUAAACGAUGCAGACUAGGCGUGGGGGGACUUGACCCCCUCCGUGCCGGAGCUAACGCGUGAAGUCUGCCGCCUGGGGAGUACGGCCGCAAGGCUAAA